GGGGAAUAUUGCACAAUGGGGGAAACCCUGAUGCAGCGACGCCGCGUGAGUGAAGAAGUAUUUCGGUAUGUAAAGCUCUAUCAGCAGGGAAGAAAAAGACGGUACCUGACUAAGAAGCCCCGGCUAACUACGUCGCC
rnacentral:rRNA from 1 species